CUUCCUUCAGGAAGCUAGAUAGCUUCUGGCUUCUUUGCUAAAGUCGUAUUUCUUAAGUAACUAACUGCUCUUGUUUCUCUUAACAGAUGACUCCUUUUUUCUCCGUUGCAGGCGUGUGAGAAAGAUUUGCACUCUUUCGUAAGUGAGAACAUCUGAAACAGGGACAGACAUCAAGAUUGGUUUUGGGAACAACAAAACUGUCAUCUUCCAAGAUCCAGCCUCCUGACCACAGGGUGUGCUGUCUGAUCCAUCCAUUUAUAAUCUUCUGAAUCCAUUCAGUUUUACAGAAGUAUAUCUCUUGCAAAUUUAAGAACAAAGACAAAGGAAAGUCUGGACCUCCAGGUCACUGCAACGAGAUCAGCGUGAGAGGAGAUCGUGGACUGCUGGAUAUUUUCCCACUGAGGGUUUCAGGCGUCUUCCUCUUCUUAUGACUGAGGAUGGCAGCUGAGCCAUGGGAGCCUUUGCUGUGGAUGAGGCCAGGCAGAAGGACUCCAGGACAGCUAGGACCUCUCUGGUCUUCCAGAAAUGUUCUGCACAGCUCCCCACGGACACAUGGCUGCCCUCUGGGA